rnacentral:lncRNA from 1 species
UGGGGGUGGUGAUCUCCUUCCUUCUUCUGCUCACAAGUCACAAGGAAAGGAAAGGCUGGGAAGCUGAAGCUGCUUGGAUCAUCUCCUUCCUUCCUUCAUAUGCUAUGCUAUGAUGAGGACGACGACAUCUUCUUCUUCUUCCACUCUCACUGUCACUGUCAGUUCCUUAAGUCUUGUUUGAUUAACUAUAAUUUUUUUUGAGAGAAACCAUCAAAUUCCGUCCUUUGGUUCGUUUGUGACUCACUUCAACAUCAAAUUAUACCAAUUCUUAGCAUGCUAAAUGCUCUCUUUAUCGAGAUUCAUCUCAAAGUCAAAGUUACGUGUGUUCAGGUGGUGGACGUGCUUCUGCUACUUGCAUUGCUAGGCGCUGCUGCUCCGUCGUCUGUCAAAGGCAGCCCAAAGUGCAGCAAUCAGGCCAACUCUGGGGAAAUUCGACCUCACAGUGUCGCCAUCACUGAAUUUGGCGCUGUAGGAGAUGGGGUCACUCUCAACACAAAAGCCUUUCAGAAUGCCGUCUUCUAUCUCAACUCUUUCACACGCA